UAACAAUAGCAUUAAAAAAAUGCAUAUCGGUUUCGGCCCGAUAAGAGCGAUCACACGCAUUGAUUU
rnacentral:tRNA from 1 species